rnacentral:rRNA from 1 species
UACGUAGGGCGCAGGCGUUGUCCGGAAUUAUUGGGCGUAAAGAGCUCGUAGGCGGUUUGUCGCGUCUGCUGUGAAAACCUCAGGCUCAACCUGGGGCUUGCAGUGGGUACGGGCAGACUAGAGUGCGGUAGGGGUGACUGGAAUUCCUGGUGUAGCGGUGGAAUGCGCAGAUAUCAGGAGGAACACCGAUGGCGAAGGCAGGUCACUGGGCCGCAACUGACGCUGAGGAGCGAAAGCAUGGGGAGCGAACAGG